GAUGAACGCUGGCGGCGUGCCUAAUACAUGCAAGUCGAGCGAACGGACGAGAAGCUUGCUUCUCUGAUGUUAGCGGCGGACGGGUGAGUAACACGUGGAUAACCUACCUAUAAGACUGGGAUAACUUCGGGAAACCGGAGCUAAUACCGGAUGAUAUUUUGAACCGCAUGGUUCAAAAGUGAAAGACGGUCUUGCUGUCACUGAUAGAUGGAUCCGCGCUGCAUUAGCUAGUUGGUAAGGUAACGGCUUACCAAGGCAACGAUGCAUAGCCGACCUGAGAGGGUGAUCGGCCACACUGGAACUGAGACACGGUCCAGACUCCUACGGGAGGCAGCAGUAGGGAAUCUUCCGCAAUGGGCGAAAGCCUGACGGAGCAACGCCGCGUGAGUGAUGAAGGUCUUCGGAUCGUAAAACUCUGUUAUUAGGGAAGAACAUAUGUGUAAGUAACUGUGCACAUCUUGACGGUACCUAAUCAGAAAGCCACGGCUAACUACGUG
rnacentral:rRNA from 1 species